CUCCCCAAGUAGGAUUCGAACCUACGACAGAUCAGUUAACAGCCGACCGCUCUACCACUGAGCUACUGAGGA
rnacentral:tRNA from 1 species